GAUGAGGAGAGGUCAGUGUAGGGGAUGAGGAGAGGUCAGUGUAGGGGAUGAGGAGAGGUCAGUGUAGGGGAUGAGGAGAGGUCAGUGUAGGGGAUGAGGAGAGGUCAGUGUAGGGGAUGAGGAGAGGUCAGUGUAGGGGAUGAGGAGAGGUCAGUGUAGGGGAUGAGGAGAGGUCAGUGUAGGGGAUGAGGAGAGGUCAGUGUAGGGGAUGAGGAGAGGUCAGUGUAGGGGAUGAGGAGAGGUCAGUGUAGGGGAUGAGGAGAGGUCAGUGUAGGGGAUGAGGAGAGGUCAGUGUAGGGGAUGAGGAGAGGUCUGUGUAGGGGAUGAGGAGAGGUCGGUGUAGGGGAUGAGGAGAGGUCAGUGUAGGGGAUGAGGAGAGGUCAGUGUAUGGGAUGAGGAGAGGUCAGUGUAAGGGAUGAGGAGAGGUCUGUGUAGGGGAUGAGGAGAGGUCAGUGUAAGGGAUGAGGAGAGGUCAGUGUAGGGGAUGAGGAGAGGUCAGUGUAAGGGAUGAGGAGAGAUCAGUGUAAGGGAUGAGGAGAGGUCAGUGUAAGGGAUGAGGAGAGGUCAGUGUAGGGGAUGAGGAGAGGUCAGUGUAGGGGAUGAGGAGAGGUCAGUGUAGGGGAUGAGGAGAGGUCAGUGUAGGGGAUGAGGAGAGGUCAGUGUAAGGGAUGAGGAGAGGUCAGUGUAAGGGAUGAGGAGAGGUCAGUGUAAGGGAUGAGGAGAGGUCAGUGUAGGGGAUGAGGAGAGGUCAGUGUAGGGGAUGAGGAGAGGUCAGUGUAAGGGAUGAGGAGAGGUCAGUGUAUGGGAUGAGGAGAGGUCAGUGUAGGGGAUGAGGAGAGGUCAGUGUAGGGGAUGAGGAGAGGUCUGUGUAGGGGAUGAGGAGAGGUCAGUGUAGGGGAUGAGGAGAGGUCAGUGUAGGGGAUGAGGUGAGGUCAGUGGAAGGGAUGAGGAGAGGUCAGUGUAGGAGAUGAGGAGAGGUCAGUGUAGGGGAUGAGGAGAGGUCAGUGUAGGGGAUGAGGAGAGGUCAGUGGAAGGGAUGAGGAGAGGUCAGUGUAUGGGAUGAGGAGAGGUCAGUGUAGGGGAUGGGGAGAGGUCAGUGUAGGGGAUGAGGAGAGGUCAGUGUAGGGGAUGAGGAGAGGUCAGUGUAGGGGAUGAGGAGAGGUCAGGGAACCAAUUGGAAAGCAGCUGGUUAAGUCUCUGUAAUGGCCGUCUGGCACGGGGAAGUGUGGCCAGUCAAACAGUCCCUGACUACAUCAUACUGACCUCUGACCUGAC